UUGACCUCGGAUCAGGUAGGGAUACCCGCUGAACUUAAGCAUAUCAAUAAGCGGAGGAAAAGAAACCAACAGGGAUUACCUCAGUAACGGCGAGUGAAGCGGUAACAGCUCAAAUUUGAAAUCUGGCCUCACGGUCCGAGUUGUAAUUUGUAGAGGAUGCUUCGAGCAUGGUCUGGCCUAAGUUCCUUGGAACAGGACGUCAUAGAGGGUGAGAAUCCCGUAUGCGGCCAGGUGCCUACGCUCAUGUGAAGCUCCUUCGACGAGUCGAGUUGUUUGGGAAUGCAGCUCAAAAUGGGUGGUAAAUUUCAUCUAAAGCUAAAUAUUGGCCAGAGACCGAUAGCGCACAAGUAGAGUGAUCGAAAGAUGAAAAGCACUUUGGAAAGAGAGUUAAACAGUACGUGAAAUUGUUGAAAGGGAAGCGCUUGCAACCAGACUUGCGCGCGGCCGAUCAUCCGGUGUUCUCACCGGUGCACUCGGCCGUGCUCAGGCCAGCAUCGGUUUUGGCGGCUGGAUAAAGGCCCUAGGAAUGUGGCUCCUCUCGGGGAGUGUUAUAGCCUAGGGUGCAAUGCAGCC
rnacentral:rRNA from 1 species